UGGGGAAUAUUGCACAAUGGGCGCAAGCCUGAUGCAGCCAUGCCGCGUGUAUGAAGAAGGCCUUCGGGUUGUAAAGUACUUUCAGCGGGGAGGAAGGUGUUGAGGUUAAUAACCUCAGCAAUUGACGUUACCCGCAGAAGAAGCACCGGCUAACUCCGUGCCAGCAGCCGCGGGAAUACUGAGGGGGCAAGUGUUAAUCGGGAUUACUGGGCGUAAAGCGCACGCAGGCGGUCUGUCAAGUCGGAUGUGAAAUCCCCGGGCUCAACCUGGGAACUGCAUUCGAAACUGGCAGGCUAGAGUCUUGUAGAGGGGGGUAGAAUUCCAGGUGUAGCGGUGAAAUGCGUAGAGAUCUGGAGGAAUACCGGUGGCGAAGGCGGCCCCCUGGACAAAGACUGACGCUCAGGUGCGAAAGCGUGGGGAGCAAACA
rnacentral:rRNA from 1 species